rnacentral:rRNA from 1 species
UGAGGAGACUGCCGCGUGUGGUGAGUUUUUUGUUUGAAAGUCUUUUGGCAGGGAAGAAAAUCUUCGGUUUUACGCGGGGACUUGACGUUACCUAAGAAUAAGCCCCGGCUAACUCUGUGCCAGCAGCCGCGGUAAU